AUUGAACGCUGGCGGCAUGCUUUACACAUGCAAGUCGAACGGUAACAGGGAGCUUGCUCCGCUGACGAGUGACGAACGGGUGAGUAAUGCGUCGGAACGUGCCGAGUAGUGGGGGAUAACGCAGCGAAAGUUGUGCUAAUACCGCAUACGUACUGAGGUAGAAAGUGGGGGACCUUCGGGCCUCACGCUAUUCGAGCGGCCGACGUCUGAUUAGCUAGUAGGUGAGGUAAAGGCUCACCUAGGCGACGAUCAGUAGCGGGUCUGAGAGGAUGAUCCGCCACACUGGGACUGAGACACGGCCCAGACUCCUACGGGAGGCAGCAGUGGGGAAUUUUGGACAAUGGGCGAAAGCCUGAUCCAGCCAUGCCGCGUGUCUGAAGAAGGCCUUCGGGUUGUAAAGGACUUUUGUCGGGGAGGAAAUCCCCAGCGUUAAUACCGCUGGGGGAUGACAGUACCUGAAGAAUAAGCACCGGCUAACUACGUGCCAGCCGCCGCCGUAAAAC
rnacentral:rRNA from 1 species